AAUCAGUCUCCUGAUUAUCGCCUUUCUGCUCCUUCUCCAACUCUGAGUCACCAAAAAGAUCUAAGGUUCCAUCAUCAUUUUCGCUAAUUGGAAAAUAAGAUGAUUCCUUUUCUUCACCAUUCAUAGAAGGCUCGGGUGAUCCAGGAGUAAAUGUGGAAAUGGUAGCAGCGUUGCCAGUUACAGGCGCAGUAGUAAUGAGAGAUGAAGUGACCGAAACGUCUAAAUUUGGUACUUGAACGGGGGUCAUAUCGAGAUCUUCAAGCUUAUUGAGGACAGUAAUAAUAUCUGUGAACGCCUCCUUCACCCUAAAAAAGUUAAUAUUAACAUCUUAAAAAUUGUUAGGAAAGUCCAAAAAAAGUGAAGCGGGAAAAAACAGAUGGCAUAUUUACAACGACAAAAAUUAACGACGGUGAAAAAUAACUACUGACAUAAGCCAUCAUUAGUUAUAUAAAUAAAAGGAACUACGAUAAAAAAAGGCGUAGGUAACAUUGUCAAACGGAACACGAGAUAUUAACAAAAGAGGAACAAUAGCACCACCUUUCCACAGUCUACAAUAUAAUGGUGGUAGACGCGUCGCAACACAGAAAAGAAACGUAUCUUUGGCAAAACAAAAAAAAAAUUUUAAAGUCAGUUCCUUUCAAUGAAGAGACUACCAAUUCCAAUUUUUUAACCUUUAGGAUAAAAAAGCGACAAUUCUAACAAACUUCGACAAACCAUAUCAAAAUCCUAAAUCACCAGCAAAAAAUCCAAAUUAAGAGUUGGACUGCCCUCACUGCCUCACCCACUUCACCUGUCAUAAACACAAACAAAACUACUUACAAAACAAAAUUGCCACGUUGACGUAUAAGCUACAGCAAUCAACACAGCAACACUGAAUAUCAAAUUGCUAAUAGUACACAAAAACAAGAAUGAACAAAAUUAAUGCCGGCUAACCUUCACAACACACGCGCGCAUAAACUGCCUAUUACACUAAAACAAGCAAUAUGCAAUAUUUACUUCGUUGUAUAGCGCCAAACAAUAACAGAUAGCACAAAUGACUUAAGAUUUAUAGCGACUUGGCUUCAAAGGGACAAAAAAGUAGUGCCCUAUAACAAAUUAACGAUUAAUAACGAUAUCGAACUCUUCCGCGCGACUAGCAAUUUCAAGAGUCGAACCGAGGAAAAAUGUGGUUUGCAGAGGGAAGGAGGAAACAUGUUGGUAUAAGUCACCGUUGUCCUCAGGGUUAGGGUUUUGAUGUGAAUCAACAUUGCGGCGGAUGAACGAUUAGAUGAUAAUUUCAAUGGAGGGCGACUGACCAAUUAUCUUUCUCCUACGUCACCACUGGCUAAAGCUAUCAGGCGCAACGCAAAUCGCGGGGUGUUAUUGUAAACAAACAAAACCAAAAAAUUCGGCCAAACUAUGUGUUCUGCAAGUAAACAACUUAAUAAUAAUACA